ensembl:lncRNA LINC00499 long intergenic non-protein coding RNA 499
GGGAAUAAGUCUCUGCAGCGUUGUAGUGAAGAGAGAAUACGGGACAACUGCAGGACCACAGCUCAGCCAAGACACAACCACAUGACUGAAGACAGAGAUCAUCUGGGCUCCCUUGCAGCUGAGUUGGCCAUAUGACUGACAGCAAGCCCUGGAAUGCAGCCAGAAGUGAUAGAAGCCUCUUUCACACCAUGCUCCUAAAAUAUUCCAAGAAAUUUUCCAAACCUACUCUUUUUAGUCUGUGCAUCUGGAAGUGAAAGUUUUAGAAAGGGUAAAGUCACUUAAUGGAAAGGGCCCAGAUCUAGCCCCUCGGAGCCAAGCUGUCCAACUAGAAAUUCUGCAUUAGUAUUUGCGACCCCAGUAAAAAAAAAAAAGUCCCACAAAGAUGUAGGAUCUCACUUUGCCUGCGUUAAUUCCCUGUCCUUUGCCCAGUUUCUCCUCUCUUGGAAGGCAGAGGCAGCUUCUGAUUUUGAUCACUUCAUGUCCAGCAGAUCUUUGGAGAGAAAAUGCCAAGAGUGGAUGGAGAGGCAAUGGUGAAGCUGAGGCUGAAGUCGGAGGAAGCUGUGAACCCUGCAUGGGGUACCUGAACACCAGGGCAAGUUUCUGGCCCAGAAUGGCUUCUGGGAAAGGGGAUAUGACAUCUUAGGAAGAAGGGACUGGGGGAAAGAAAGCACUUUCUGCUUCUGUGGAUAUAAACACACAGUGUUUUAUUCCCUAGUGCAACAAAACCUCAAGAUCAACAGACAAGAGCUGAAAACCCUUUCCCACCAGACACAGUGCCAUCUAAAUGUUCUCUCAAAAGAUAGCAUCUCAUAAACAAUUUCAACAAAAGGAUGUCAGCUUUUACUUUAUGUGCAUGCACAAAAUCACUUUUCAGGAAAAAAAAUGACCAUUACCGAAUCCAUCAUAAAAUUAAUUACAUUUAGUUGAUCACGUUGGCUGACUGGUUAUAACUCUUGCUGUAUUUUCCAGAAGUGUGUUUCAUUUUAUUUAUCAUUAAAGGAAAAAAUAUUGUAGUUUUCCAAUAUACUGUCUAUUGGUGGUUCUCAAACUCCAGUGUAUGCCACAAUUGCCAAAGAAAUUUAACUAAAUGCAGAUUCCUUGGCACUGUCCCUCAAAAUUCCUAUUUACUUUUUCUGGUAUAAGGUACAGAUAAUUCUGAUUUACUUAAGCUAUGGUUUUAGAAACACUACACUCUAAUUCUAAUUAUUCAUGUUAGUUCUCAUGAAAAUAUUCACAUUAAUUCUAAUGAAAUAUAAUGUGACAAUACUAUAUGUAAGAAUUUCCUCCCUGACUUCAUUUUGAUAUGAAUAGGAGGCAGGGAAAUACUGGGUAGAAGGGGGCAGUUCCCCAGCAAAGGCCCCACCUGAACCCUGGAAACCCAUGGCCCUAAAUGGGAACAGGCAUUUCUGUUUUUGCACCCAAAUGUUGCCUUUUCCAAGACCAUUCUGGCCUGCCAUGCCCCUAUCCUGUGUCCAUAUAAACUCCAAGCUCCAGUGGCAAAGUGGCAGAAUGGCAUGACAGAGAAGCAGAGAAUAGAAGGAGUGUCUGAACAUCAGGAAGAUUUUGGCUGGGGACGGUCGGAGAGAGAUCAGCUGCAGGAUGACUGAACUCCAGGGGAAGAUCAUCUUCCCACUCCAUCCCCUUUCCAGGUCCCCAUCCAUCCCACUGAGAGCCACC